rnacentral:rRNA from 1 species
AUUGAACGCUGGCGGCAGGCCUAACACAUGCAAGUCGAGCGGAUGAAGGGAGCUUGCUCCUGGAUUCAGCGGCGGACGGGUGAGUAAUGCCUAGGAAUCUGCCUGGUAGUGGGGGAUAACGUCCGGAAACGGGCGCUAAUACCGCAUACGUCUGGAGGGAGAAAGUGGGGGAUCUUCGGACCUCACGCUAUCAGAUGGGCCUAGGUCGGAUUAGCUAGUUGGUGGGGUAAAGGCCUACCAAGGCGACGAUCCGUAACUGGUCUGAGAGGAUGAUCAGUCACACUGGAACUGAGACACGGUCCAGACUCCUACGGGAGGCAGCAGUGGGGAAUAUUGGACAAUGGGCGAAAGCCUGAUCCAGCCAUGCCGCGUGUGUGAAGAAGGUCUUCGGAUUGUAAAGCACUUUAAGUUGGGAGGAAGGGCAGUAAGUUAAUACCUUGCUGUUUUGACGUUACCAACAGAAUAAGCACCGGCUAACUUCGUG